GCCUAGUUAGCUUAGUUUUAGUUGGUAGAGCGUCUGCCUUGUAAGCGCUAGGCCGCGGGUUCGAUUCCCGCCCGGGGCG
rnacentral:tRNA from 1 species